AAAAUAUUCUGUAGUUAACAAUUUUCAGUUUUCUCAGCCCAAUAAAGGGCUUUAAAAAAACCUAUACCUAACAGUAUCUUUUUUAAAAAAUAGAUUCCCCUCAAGAUCAGAAAUAAGGUGAUGUCUAUCUUCCAUCUAAAUUAUCUGUCUUCCAUCUAAAUCUGCUACUUCCAUACUCUGCCCAAAGUAACAGUUCAUUUCCUCCAUCUCUGCUUGGAGAAGCUUGUCAUCCUUUUGAGUCCAGUUACCUUGCAGUCUUAACUCCCAGCUGGGCUCAAGUGACUUCAUUUUUUCUUUCUCAGCUUUCUAUGCCUAAGAGGAAGCUUAAAUUAUGCCCCCCUUUUCCCCUCAGCAUUUAUAGGUUAUUUCGCCUACUGUUUUUGCUACAUAUGGAAUUCUCCAUAUCCUAAAAAUGGUUAAGACAGAUCAACUGACUUGCAACACUUAAGUUCUAGCUAACUUUUUAUCCUUAGAAAAUAACCUGUCAAGCAAUUAACUGACAAAGCAUCUAAUAAAGUAGCAUUCGUGUACUCAAGUGCUUUGAGAUUAUUUGACUUUUCAUUUCUUCCAUUUUAGGACAGAAAAUUGAAGCUAGAAAAGUAGCUCCUCCCAACUCUACAUUAUUUCAUUGGUAAAGACAGGAUUUAGAGGCCAGAUGUCUUAGGUAGCCACUCAUAUACUUUUGGCACACAGAAUCAGCCAUAUGAUCAAAAGAAACUAUGGCAUCCGAGAGAUGUGGUGCAGGACUUUAAGAAGCUUUCACUGAAUUUCAGCAAAGAAAGGAG